AGAGUUUGAUCAUGGCUCAGAAUGAACGUUGGCGGCGUGGAUUAGGCAUGCAAGUCGUACGCUUUAUGUAGCAAUACAUGAAGAGUGGCGUAAGGGAGAGUAAUGCAUGGUUAGCUACCCUGGGGACUGGGAUAGCGGCGGGAAACUGCCGGUAAUACCAGAUGACAUCUUCGGAUCAAACGUGUAAAUCGGCCCUAGGAGGUGACCAUGUCCUAUCAGCUAGUUGGCGGUGUAACGGACCACCAAGGCUAAAACGGGUAUGGGGCGUGAGAGCGUGCCCCCACUCACUGGGACUGAGACACUGCCCAGACACCUACGGGUGGCUGCAGUCGAGAAUCUUCGGCAAUGGGCGCAAGCCUGACCGAGCGACGCCGCGUGCGGGAUGAAGGCCUUCGGGUUGUAAACCGCUGUCGUAGGGGAGGAAGGUCUGGUGUAUAGCCAGGCUUGACCGAUCCUAGGAGGAAGGGCCGGCUAAUCUCGUGCCAGCAGCCGCGGUAAUACGAGAGGCCCAAACGUUAUUCGGAAUUACUGGGCUUAAAGAGUUCGUAGGCGGCGCAGAAAGUAGGGUGUGAAAGCCCUCGGCUCAACCGAGGAAUUGCGCUCUAAACUACUGUGCUCGAGGAACCUAGAGGUGAGCAGAACAGAUGGUGGAGCGGUGAAAUGCGUUGAUAUCAUCUGGAAUACCGGAGGCGAAGGCGGCUCACUGGGGGUUUUCUGACGCUGAGGAACGAAAGCCAGGGUAGCGAACGGGAUUAGAUACCCCAGUAGUCC
rnacentral:rRNA from 1 species